CUCCUUUCCACUGGUCUCUUGCUCUCUUUGCUUUUUCUGCUUGGUAGGAUCUUUUAGCUGCUAAUAGAGCCAGGCGUCUGUCUAGGACUUUAACUCCCUGAAUCCCGCAGAGCCGCUUGUACAAAAGGUCGAUGUGUCAUUUGUCUCCAUAAAGCAUCAUUCCUUGUAUCACACCCGAAGCUCUCCAGCCCUCAGGCACUGUCACGGCAGAAGCAUGGCCAUCUCAUCACGCCUUGCACUGUGGGAGCAAAAGGAAAGUGACGACACUCGUGCAGCUGCGGGGGCAGGGUUCCCUCCGGCACCCACUGAAUGUGGCAUGUCUCUCCUGGGUGCGGGGCCUCGGGCGCUUAGAGGGAGCAGAUCAUUGGAAGGAGCUAAGGGUUCCCAAUUGCACAGUAGCAACGCUUCCAGCAGGGGGCAAGGAGCACGCCCGGCUUUAACCAUUUGCUAGCCAGCACGAUCCAUUCCUUUGGUUUCACUUUACUCAUUAGAUUUGGCAUCUCAUAGUCAAUGGCUCGCUUGUCACCCCUUGUGCAUGUCCUGCUGCCUUCCACAAAUGCCCUUUGUGAGCGUUCUAGCUUCUAGCACAUAGGGGGCCAUUUGUGUGUUGUGUUUUGUGUUGUGAGCUCUUUCUCUACUGCCUUGGGAGCAGACGGCUCCUGCCAGUAAAUUCCAGGUAGAAGAAGAGAGUUAACAUAGGCUUGAAAAGUAGAGUAACUAUCCUCACCUGAGGUUAAAGCCAUGUGCAGGUGUGUGUGAGAGGACACCAUGGGUCUGAAGUGCCAGUCUUCUUUCGGACACAAAAAUUGAUGCUGCUAGUCUGGUCUUCAUGAGUGACCCUACGACAACAGCCGUGUGCUCAUAGGCCACCCCACAACAACCCAGCAGGUGCAACCCCGAGACUCUCAAGCAACCCUACAAUAACAAACCAGCAUGCAAGUACCUGUAGUAGAUGCAGCCCUGGGGAGGGAAUAAACUCAGCAAGGGGAGGGUCCAGUUCCAGAUCGUGCGUGGUGGUGGUAUAAUGAGCGACGAGAACGUCUGAUUGUUGGAAAGAGCUCUGCAAGCCCCCUGCCACGUCUCUCUCACUUUGCUACUCCCGUGUGAUGCUAGAGCAGAGUACGGGACUUGGCCUGUCAUACAUGAGCUUGGUUGAGUCAUGUAUGCCGACUAACUGCUCUUCGAGGGGUUUGUGAUGCUGUCUGAGCCCGAAGAGCAGACCUUUGCCAGGGCCCACGAGGCGUGCCAUCGAAUAAUGUAGCCUCUGCUUGUG